AAAUUGAAGAGUUUGAUCAUGGCUCAGAUUGAACGCUGGCGGCAGGCCUAACACAUGCAAGUCGAACGGUAGCACAGAGAGCUUGCUCUCGGGUGACGAGUGGCGGACGGGUGAGUAAUGUCUGGGAAACUGCCUGAUGGAGGGGGAUAACUACUGGAAACGGUAGCUAAUACCGCAUAACGUCGCAAGACCAAAGAGGGGGACCUUCGGGCCUCUUGCCAUCAGAUGUGCCCAGAUGGGAUUAGCUAGUAGGUGGGGUAACGGCUCACCUAGGCGACGAUCCCUAGCUGGUCUGAGAGGAUGACCAGCCACACUGGAACUGAGACACGGUCCAGACUCCUACGGGAGGCAGCAGUGGGGAAUAUUGCACAAUGGGCGCAAGCCUGAUGCAGCCAUGCCGCGUGUAUGAAGAAGGCCUUCGGGUUGUAAAGUACUUUCAGCGGGGAGGAAGGCGAUAAGGUUAAUAACCUUGUCGAUUGACGUUACCCGCAGAAGAAGCACCGGCUAACUCCGUGCCAGCAGCCGCGGUAAUACGGAGGGUGCAAGCGUUAA
rnacentral:rRNA from 1 species